AUUGAACGCUGGCGGCAGGCCUAACACAUGCAAGUCGAACGGUAACAGGAAGAAGCUUGCUUCUUUGCUGACGAGUGGCGGACGGGUGAGUAAUGUCUGGGAAACUGCCUGAUGGAGGGGGAUAACUACUGGAAACGGUAGCUAAUACCGCAUAACGUCGCAAGACCAAAGAGGGGGACCUUCGGGCCUCUUGCCAUCGGAUGUGCCCAGAUGGGAUUAGCUAGUAGGGGGGGUAACGGCUCACCUAGGCGACGAUCCCUAGCUGGUCUGAGAGGAUGACCAGCCACACUGGAACUGAGACACGGUCCAGACUCCUACGGGAGGCAGCAGUGGGGAAUAUUGCACAAUGGGCGCAAGCCUGAUGCAGCCAUGCCGCGUGUAUGAAGAAGGCCUUCGGGUUGUAAAGUACUUUCAGCGGGGAGGAAGGGAGUAAAGUUAAUACCUUUGCUCAUUGACGUUACCCGCAGAAGAAGCACCGGCUAACUCCGUG
rnacentral:rRNA from 1 species